rnacentral:sRNA from 1 species
CAACGGCUCGCGGAGCGGCUACGCGGAGUGACAUCGCCGGUGUUUGCGGGUGGUUGUUGCUCUCGGGGCCGUGUGGAGUAGGUCUGGACCUGGACUCACGGCUGCUUGGAGCGUCCGCCAUGAGGAGAAGUGAGGUGCUGGCGGAGGAGUCCAUAGUAUGUCUGCAGAAAGCCCUAAAUCACCUUCGGGAAAUAUGGGAGCUAAUUGGGAUUCCAGAGGACCAGCGGUUACAAAGAACUGAGGUGGUAAAGAAGCAUAUCAAGGAACUCCUGGAUAUGAUGAUUGCUGAAGAGGAAAGCCUGAAGGAAAGACUCAUCAAAAGCAUAUCCGUCUGUCAGAAAGAGCUGAACACUCUGUGCAGCGAGUUACAUGUUGAGCCAUUUCAGGAAGAAGGAGAGACAACCAUCUUGCAACUAGAAAAAGAUUUGCGCACCCAAGUGGAAUUGAUGCGAAAACAGAAAAAGGAGAGAAAACAGGAACUGAAGCUACUUCAAGAGCAAGAUCAAGAACUGUGCGAAAUUCUUUGUAUGCCCCACUAUGAUAUUGACAGUGCCUCAGUGCCCAGCUUAGAAGAGCUGAACCAGUUCAGGCAACAUGUGACAACUUUGAGGGACACAAAGCUGGAAAUGCAGAAAUCACAAAAUGAAGCAGUGUGUGAGGGGCUGCGUACUCAAAUCCGAGAGCUCUGGGACAGGUUGCAAAUACCUGAAGAAGAAA